GAACGAACGCUGGCGGCAUGCCUAACACAUGCAAGUCGAACGAGACCUUCGGGUCUAGUGGCGCACGGGUGCGUAACGCGUGGGAACCUGCCCUUAGGUUCGGAAUAACUCCCCGAAAGGGGUGCUAAUACCGGAUAAUGUCUUCGGACCAAAGAUUUAUCGCCUUUGGAUGGGCCCGCGUUGGAUUAGCUAGUUGGUAGGGUAACAGCCUACCAAGGCGACGAUCCAUAGCUGGUCGGAGAGGAUGAUCAGCCACACUGGGACUGAGACACGGCCCAGACUCCUACGGGAGGCAGCAGUGGGGAAUAUUGGACAAUGGGCGAAAGCCUGAUCCAGCAAUGCCGCGUGAGUGAUGAAGGCCUUAGGGUUGUAAAGCUCUUUUACCCGGGAUGAUAAUGACAGUACCGGGAGAAUAAGCUCCGGCUAACUCCGUG
rnacentral:rRNA from 1 species